AUUGAACGCUGGCGGCAUGCUUUACACAUGCAAGUCGAACGGUAACAGGCCUUCGGGUGCUGACGAGUGGCGAACGGGUGAGUAAUGCAUCGGAACGUGCCCAAUCGUGGGGGAUAACGUAGCGAAAGUUACGCUAAUACCGCAUAAGCCCUGAGGGGGAAAGUGGGGGACCGCAAGGCCUCACGCGAAUGGAGCGGCCGAUGUCAGAUUAGCUAGUUGGUGGGGUAAAGGCCCACCAAGGCGACGAUCUGUAGCGGGUCUGAGAGGAUGAUCCGCCACACUGGGACUGAGACACGGCCCAGACUCCUACGGGAGGCAGCAGUGGGGAAUUUUGGACAAUGGGCGCAAGCCUGAUCCAGCCAUGCCGCGUGCGGGACGAAGGCCUCGGU
rnacentral:rRNA from 1 species